CAGCUGGGGCACACAGGGUUUAUUCAGUCAGUCAUUAAACAUCUGCCCCAGAGCAGCUCUGCAGCACAUCCUUCCCCACACUCACACACCAGAUUAGCUCAGAUUGCCUCUGUCUAUUAUUUGUAAGCAAAAAAAAACCCAACCCUUUAAUUUCAUAUUGUUACAGCAAAAGAAUUGGUUUAAUUAUUAAACCUUUCCAGCUGUAGAGAGAAGGAGAUGUGUGAUUUUUCAUUUCAGGCCAUGCUGUGCUCUCAGGACAGUCUGAGAGCAGAGGAGAGACUCCUCAGAGAUUGUUCUUUUGAUUUUCAUGCAAAACUCUCCGCUCACGUCACCGAGGAGCAAGUCUCCAUAGCAAGGAGUUGUGCUGGCUCAGAUCCCCUCUGCAGACGGCUCCGGGUGGAAAACAAGGCAGAUGAUCUAAAUUGGAGGUGGAUUUUGGCAGCUCUCAGGAUGCCCUCAGAGCAGGGGGGUGAGAGCUGUCCUGCCCCAGCAGUGGAUGCUCCUCCUUGUGCAAAAUUCUGGAGAUUUAACAUCAGAACAUCGCCUGACAUUAAAGCUAUGAAGAAAUAAGACUUGGACAUUCUAGAACUUCGGGAGGACAUCUCCCUCUUUCCAGAAGAAAAGGCUCAGGGAUGCUUUUCAUUAUGUCCACCAUCAAAAGUUCACCAGCUCCAGACAGCUCCUGAGCUCAAAUAAAUCUCUUGAAUUCCACA
rnacentral:lncRNA from 1 species